GACGUAGGGGGCGAGCGUUGUCCGGAUUUACUGGGCGUAAAGAGCGCGUAGGCGGUCUGUUAAGUCAGAAGUGAAAUCUCCAGGGCUCAACCCGGAAACUGCUUUUGAUACUGACAGACUUGAGUGUCGGAGAGGUAACUGGAAUUCCUGGUGUAGCGGUGACAUGCAUUGAUAUCAGGAGGAACACCCAUGGCGAAGGCAGGUUACUGGCUGACAACUGACGCUGAGGCGCGAAAGCGUGGGUAGCAAACAGA
rnacentral:rRNA from 1 species